AUGAGGCGAACCGGGGGAACUGAAACAUCUAAGUACCCCGAGGAAAAGAAAUCAACCGAGAUUCCCCCAGUAGCGGCGAGCGAACGGGGAGCAGCCCAGAGCCUGAAUCAGUGUGUGUGUUAGUGGAAGCGUCUGGAAAGGCGCGCGAUACAGGGUGACAGCCCCGUACACAAAAAUGCACAUGCUGUGAGCUCGAUGAGUAGGGCGGGACACGUGGUAUCCUGUCUGAAUAUGGGGGGACCAUCCUCCAAGGCUAAAUACUCCUGACUGACCGAUAGUGAACCAGUACCGUGAGGGAAAGGCGAAAAGAACCCCGGCGAGGGGAGUGAAAAAGAACCUGAAACCGUGUACGUACAAGCAGUGGGAGCCUCUUUUAUGGGGUGACUGCGUACCUUUUGUAUAAUGGGUCAGCGACUUAUAUUCUGUAGCAAGGUUAACCGAAUAGGGGAGCCGAAGGGAAACCGAGUCUUAACUGGGCGUUAAGUUGCAGGGUAUAGACCCGAAACCCGGUGAUCUAGCCAUGGGCAGGUUGAAGGUUGGGUAACACUAACUGGAGGACCGAACCGACUAAUGUUGAAAAAUUAGCGGAUGACUUGUGGCUGGGGGUGAAAGGCCAAUCAAACCGGGAGAUAGCUGGUUCUCCCCGAAAGCUAUUUAGGUAGCGCCUCGUGAAUUCAUCUCCGGGGGUAGAGCACUGUUUCGGCAAGGGGGUCAUCCCGACUUACCAACCCGAUGCAAACUGCGAAUACCGGAGAAUGUUAUCACGGGAGACACACGGCGGGUGCUAACGUCCGUCGUGAAGAGGGAAACAACCCAGACCGCCAGCUAAGGUCCCAAAGUCAUGGUUAAGUGGGAAACGAUGUGGGAAGGCCCAGACAGCCAGGAUGUUGGCUUAGAAGCAGCCAUCAUUUAAAGAAAGCGUAAUAGCUCACUGGUCGAGUCGGCCUGCGCGGAAGAUGUAACGGGGCUAAACCAUG
rnacentral:rRNA from 1 species